rnacentral:lncRNA from 1 species
AUGGUAAUAUAGAGAGUAAAAUCAGAGAGGAGAAAAAUGAGAUAACUCCUCUUGGGGGAUAACUUUCAUUUAAAGCUCCUGAGAUUGGGAGCAAUCCCGCAGCACAUGAACAAUAUCUUUGUGGGUGGCACCACAGAGAGAACAACUUGGAUCACCAGUCAUAUGUUGUCAUUGUCGCUUCUAAUUUGUAAGAAGACUACCCCUCAUAGCUAACC